UAGGGAAUAUUAGAAAUGGACGAAAGUCUGAUCUAGCAACACCGCGUGUGCGAAGAAGGCCUUCGGGUCGUAAAGCACUUUUUGGAAGGAAUAGGAAGGAAUGUACUUCCAGAAUAAGUCUCGGCUAACUACGUGCCAGCAGCCGCGGUAACACGUAGGAGGCGAACGUUAUCCGGAUUUACUGGGCGUAAAGCGCGUGUAGGUGGUUCUGUAAGUAGGGCGUGAAAGCUCCUGGCUCAACUGGGAGAGGCCGUUCUAAACUGCAGAGCUAGAGGAUGGUAGAGGGGGGUGGGAUUCCGGGUGUAGCGGUGGAAUGCGCAGAUAUCCGGGGGAACACCAGUGGCGAAAGCGGCCUCCUGGACCAUUCCUGACACUCAGACGCGAAAGCUAGGGUAGCAAACA
rnacentral:rRNA from 1 species